GGGCUGGUAGCUCAGAUGGCUAGAGCACCUGAUUUGCAUUCAGAAGGUCGCGGGUUCGAGUCCCGCCCGGUCCA
rnacentral:tRNA from 1 species